UGUUGCUGUAUUGGACAGCACAGGUAUAGAACAUUUCCAUCAACACGGAAAGUUCUAUUGGACAGUACUGGUAUAGAGACUCUUGUUGGGAAGAAGUGGAUAUGUGCUAAGCAAGAGGGCUUUAUUUCACCCAGAAAAUCUUUCGGUUUAUUCAGAUGUUGGAAAACUAAUGUACAGAUUCCACAACUCAUUCUGGCUGAUUCUCUGAGCAGCAUUCUGAAUAAAGUCUUCAUCCAAUAUACAUCCAAUAUACAUCCAAUCCCAACAAAUCCAACAAAGGAUCACUCAAGGCCAGGAGUGCAAGACCAUCCAGGGCAACAUAACAAGACUCUGUCUCUAUAAUUAAAAAAAAAAAAAAGCUGUAAUCCCAGCACUUUGGGAGACCAAGGCAGGUGGAUUCUUGAGCACAGGAGUUUGAGGCCAGCCUGGGCAACAUGGUGAAGUCCUGCCUCUACAAAAAAAUACAAAAAGCCGGGCUUCCAGACAGUUCCAGUCCAUUCUGCAAGAGAGGCAAUCACUCCCUGCUUGGGAAGAAAGAGAAACCAUUCUUAACUUAUUGCGUAAGCACCAGGUG
rnacentral:sRNA from 1 species